ACAACAGGGAUUGCCCUAGUAACGGCGAGUGAAGCGGCAAGAGCUCAAAUUUGAAAUCUGGCCCUCUCAGGGUCCGAGUUGUAAUUUGUAGAGGGCGCUUUGGCGUUGGCCCCGGCCUAAGUUCCUUGGAACAGGACGUCACAGAGGGUGAGAACCCCGUACGUGGCCGCCGGCCUCCGCCGUGUAAAGCCCCUUCGACGAGUCGAGUUGUUUGGGAAUGCAGCUCUAAAUGGGAGGUAAAUUUCUUCUAAAGCUAAAUACUGGCCAGAGACCGAUAGCGCACAAGUAGAGUGAUCGAAAGAUGAAAAGCACUUUGGAAAGAGAGUCAAAAAGCACGUGAAAUUGUUGAAAGGGAAGCGCUUGCAGCCAGACUUGCCUGUAGUUGCUCAUCCGAGCUCCCGCUCGGUGCACUCUUCUGCGGGCAGGCCAGCAUCAGUCCGGGCGGUCGGAUAAAGGCCUCGGGAAUGUAGCUCCCCUCGGGGAGUGUUAUAGCCCGGGGUGCCAUGCGACCAGCCUGGACUGAGGUCCGCGCAUCUGCUAGGAUGCUGGCGUAAUGGCUGUAAGCGGCCCGU
rnacentral:rRNA from 1 species